rnacentral:sRNA from 1 species
AGAACAGCGUAGUGGUAACGUACCACCUA